CCUACGGGGGGCUGCAGUGGGGAAUAUUGGACAAUGGGGGGAACCCUGAUCCAGCCAUGCCGCGUGUGUGAAGAAGGCCCUCGGGUUGUAAAGCACUUUCAGUGAGGAAGAACGCCUGGUGGUUAAUACCCAUCAGGAAAGACAUCACUCACAGAAGAAGCACCGGCUAACUCCGUGCCAGCAGCCGCGGUAAUACGGAGGGUGCGAGCGUUAAUCGGAAUUACUGGGCGUAAAGCGCGCGUAGGUGGCUUGAUAAGCCGGUUGUGAAAGCCCCGGGCUCAACCUGGGAACGGCAGCCGGAACUGUCAAGCUAGAGUGCAGGAGAGGAAGGUAGAAUUCCCGGUGUAGCGGUGAAAUGCGUAGAGAUCGGGAGGAAUACCAGUGGCGAAGGCGGCCUUCUGGACUGACACUGACACUGAGGUGCGAAAGCGUGGGUAGCAAACAGGAUUAGAUACCCCGGUAGUC
rnacentral:rRNA from 1 species